rnacentral:rRNA from 1 species
UACGUAGGGUGCGAGCGUUGUCCGGAAUUAUUGGGCGUAAAGAGCUCGUAGGCGGUUUGUCGCGUCGACUGUGAAAACCCGAGGCUUAACCUCGGGCCUGCAGUCGAUACGGGCAGACUAGAGUUCGGUAGGGGAGACUGGAAUUCCUGGUGUAGCGGUGAAAUGCGUAGAUAUCGGAAGGAACAUCAGUGGCGAAGGCGACUUCCUGGACCAAUACUGACGCUCAGGUGCGAAAGCGUGGGGAGCAAACAGG